rnacentral:rRNA from 1 species
GACGAACGCUGGCGGCGUGCCUAAUACAUGCAAGUCGAGCGAAGUUUUUCUGGUGCUUGCACCGGAAAAACUUAGCGGCGAACGAGUGAGUAACACGUAAAGAACCUGCCUCAUAGACUGGGACAACUAUUGGAAACGAUAGCUAAUACCGGAUAACAGCAUUAACUGCAUGGUUGAUGUUUAAAAGUUGGUUUUGCUAACACUAUGAGAUGGCUUUGCGGUGCAUUAGCUAGUUGGUGGGGUAAAGGCCUACCAAGGCGACGAUGCAUAGCCGACCUGAGAGGGUGAUCGGCCACACUGGGACUGAGACACGGCCCAGACUCCUACGGGAGGCAGCAGUAGGGAAUCUUCCGCAAUGGGCGAAAGCCUGACGGAGCAACGCCGCGUGAGUGAAGAAGGAUUUCGGUUCGUAAAGCUCUGUUGUUAGGGAAGAAUGAUUGUGUAGUAACUAUACACAG